GGCAAAGGAAGUCAAAGCAAUGUCACAGGAAGAUAUCUUGGCUUUUGAGAAAGUGGGAGAAGUCACAAUUGCAACUCAUUGUUUAAGGUUAUCUGAUAUAAAGGUUGUCCGGGAUUUCAGACGGCCUGAUGGUAUGACGGACAAGGAAAUUGAUGCUGCUGGUGAUGGUGAUGUACUAGUGAUUUUGGAUUUACGACCGGAUGACUCUCUAUUUGAGGCUGGUGUUGCUCGUGAGAUUGUUAAUAGAAUCCAGAAGUUGAGGAAGAAAGCUGCCCUUGAACCUACUGACACGGUAGAGGUGUAUUUUCAAUCCCUGGAUGAGGAUACAUCAGUAGCGCAGAGAGUUUUACGUGCACAGGAACUAUACAUAAGUGAGGCAAUCGGUU
rnacentral:misc_RNA from 1 species